UGUAUGCAGCUACCUAUCCAACUUUUGGACCGGUUCGAUCAAUAUAUUUGUUAUUAAUUACACAUAAAGAAAAGACUAUCUUUAACUUCGUUCGUUUGGAACAAGAGUUUGUAGAGAAUCUCUCGAUGAUGGCAAACAGUUGUGUUUCAAUGGACAAUAAUAAUAUCCUGGGUCUUCUCAAGCUUCGAAUUAAAAGAGGCGUUAAUCUUGCAAUUCGCGAUGCUCGUACCAGCGAUCCGUAUGUCGUCGUCAACAUGGGUGAUCAGAAGCUGAAGACUCGUGUCGUAAAAAACAACUGCAACCCUGACUGGAAUGAAGAAUUGACCCUUUCUGUAAAGGACGUUAAAACCCCAAUACAUCUGACGGUUUAUGACAAAGACACUUUCUCUGUUGAUGACAAAAUGGGUGAGGCAGAGAUAGACUUAAAACCAUAUGUUCAGUGUAAGCAGAUGGGAUUGGGCAAGCUCCCAAAUGGUUGUUCACUCAAGAGAAUUCAACCAGAUAGAACUAAUUACCUUGCUGAAGAGAGCAGCUGCAUUUGGCAAAAUGGAAAGAUUGUCCAAGAAAUGUUUUUGAGAUUGAGAAAUGUUGAGAGUGGAGAAAUACUUGUGGAAAUUGAGUGGGUUGAUGUUGUUGGUUGCAAGGGCUUAUCAGAGGUAGAACUUUAAGUGUGCUUCCAUCCUUGAGGUUAUAUGAAGCAUUAAAAGCUUAGAUGCCAGCUCCAGCAUAAUGUAGUGUGGCAAAAUAAGAGGCACAAAGAUUAACAAGAGAGGAGGGGGAGAGGACCGUCCCCGCGAAGUUGGCACCCACCCCCACCAAUCAGAAAGUACCUUUUAUAUUUAUAAUUUUUAAUGAACAAUUAUUGUUCAUCGUGUAAUAAUAACAUAUACAAAAGGUAAGCAAAUAUAAUUUUAAGUUUAAUCAAAUUGGCAUAACACGACAUUUGGUCGGGGAGAAGUGUACUUAACUGACAUCAAGAAACAUCAAUAUAAUACUAAUUAGCUCUUUAAUUAUUAGUAUUUGGUAGCCAUUAACAUUGGAUGUUAUCUAUGUAUUAAGCAGUAGCUAGAUAUUGUUUUUUGCA